rnacentral:rRNA from 1 species
AGAGUUUGAUCCUGGCUCAGGACGAACGCUGGCGGCACGCUUAACACAUGCAAGUCGAACGAGAGAAGAGGAGCUUGCUUUUCUGAUCUAGUGGCGGACGGGUGAGUAACACGUGAGCAAUCUGCCUUUCAGAGGGGGAUACCGAUUGGAAACGAUCGUUAAUACCGCAUAACAUAAUUGAACCGCAUGAUUUGAUUAUCAAAGAUUUAUCGCUGAAAGAUGAGCUCGCGUCUGAUUAGCUAGUUGGUAAGGUAACGGCUUACCAAGGCGACGAUCAGUAGCCGGACUGAGAGGUUGAUCGGCCACAUUGGGACUGAGACACGGCCCAGACUCCUACGGGAGGCAGCAGUGGGGAAUAUUGCACAAUGGAGGAAACUCUGAUGCAGCGAUGCCGCGUGAGGGAAGAAGGUUUUAGGAUUGUAAACCUCUGUCUUCAGGGACGAAAAAAGACGGUACCUGAGGAGGAAGCUCCGGCUAACUACGUGCCAGCAGCCGCGGUAAUACGUAGGGAGCGAGCGUUGUCCGGAAUUACUGGGUGUAAAGGGAGCGUAGGCGGGAUCGCAAGUCAGAUGUGAAAACUAUGGGCUUAACCCAUAAACUGCAUUUGAAACUGUGGUUCUUGAGUGAAGUAGAGGUAAGCGGAAUUCCUAGUGUAGCGGUGAAAUGCGUAGAUAUUAGGAGGAACAUCAGUGGCGAAGGCGGCUUACUGGGCUUUAACUGACGCUGAGGCUCGAAAGCGUGGGGAGCAAACAGGAUUAGAUACCCUGGUAGUCCACGCCGUAAACGAUGAUUACUAGGUGUGGGGGGACUGACCCCUUCCGUGCCGCAGCAAACGCAAUAAGUAAUCCACCUGGGGAGUACGACCGCAAGGUUGAAACUCAAAGGAAUUGACGGGGGCCCGCACAAGCAGUGGAGUAUGUGGAUUAAUUCGAAGCAACGCGAAGAACCUUACCAGGUCUUGACAUCGUAUGCAUAGCUCAGAGAUGAGUGAAAUCUCUUCGGAGACAUAUAGACAGGUGGUGCAUGGUUGUCGUCAGCUCGUGUCGUGAGAUGUUGGGUUAAGUCCCGCAACGAGCGCAACCCUUACUGUUAGUUGCUACGCAAGAGCACUCUAGCAGGACUGCCGUUGACAAAACGGAGGGAGGUGGGGAUGACGUCAAAUCAUCAUGCCCCUUAUGACCUGGGCCUCACACGUACUACAAUGGCUGUCAACAGAGGGAAGCAAAGCCGCGAGGUGGAGCGAACCCCUAAAAGCAGUCUUAGUUCGGAUUGUAGGCUGCAACCCGCCUACAUGAAGUCGGAAUUGCUAGUAAUCGCAGAUCAGCAUGCUGCGGUGAAUACGUUCCCGGGCCUUGUACACACCGCCCGUCACGCCAUGGGAGUCGGUAACACCCGAAGCCUGUAGUCUAACCGCAAGGAGGACGCAGUCGAAGGUGGGAUUGAUGACUGGGGUGAAGUCGUAACAAGGUA